UUGAACCUGAGAGUUUGAUCCUGGCUCAGAACGAACGCUGGCGGCAUGCCUAACACAUGCAAGUCGAACGAGGGCUUCGGCCCUAGUGGCGCACGGGUGAGUAACACGUGGGAACCUGCCUUUCGGUUCGGGAUAACGUCUGGAAACGGACGCUAACACCGGAUACGUCCUUCGGGAG
rnacentral:rRNA from 1 species